ensembl:lncRNA
AGAACGGUCUGGGUGUUGUUCACAGCCUUUUGCUCUGGGUGUGCAUGCAGGAGGGAUACAGAAGAGGGAGGAAGACAGGUCGAGAGAGAGAGAAAGAGGGCAAAAACGGAUACAUGUCUGUGGCCAUUUCUCUUCGAUAUAAGAGGUGACACAACACUGCUGUACCUUCUCUGUGAAUGUGUGUGUUUGUUUCCUGACUUGGAAGCAAAGAGUUUGUUACACAUUGCCCUAGGAGAUGCCUGGGGAAAGGGGGUAAGAUUGUUAUCCUGCUGGGUGAAGAUCUCAGCCAGGACUGGCAUCGCUUCCCAUCUUUUCUGAGCCAUUGAAGGAUGGGAAGAGGAAGCAGCCAAAUACACAGCGGUCCAAGUUUAAUUGACUGUGUGCUGGAGUUUACCGAAGUUGCUAUGGCAUAGUGUAUGCAGACACAUUUUUCAGGUGUCUUUUACACAUGUACUGUAUAUAGACCACUGCUUGUCUCCGCCACAGUGAAGAUGUUAAGGUAGCC